GACGAACGCUGGCGGCGUGCUUAACACAUGCAAGUCGAACGGAAAGGCCCAGCUUGCUGGGUGCUCGAGUGGCGAACGGGUGAGUAACACGUGGGUGAUCUGCCCCUAACUUCGGGAUAAGCUUGGGAAACUGGGUCUAAUACCGGAUAGGACAAUCGUUUAGUGUCGGUUGUGGAAAGUUUUUUCGGUUAGGGAUGAGCCCGCGGCCUAACAGCUUGUUGGUGGGGUAAUGGCCUACCAAGGCGUCGACGGGUAGCCGGCCUGAGAGGGUGGACGGCCACAUUGGGACUGAGAUACGGCCCAGACUCCUACGGGAGGCAGCAGUGGGGAAUAUUGCACAAUGGGCGCAAGCCUGAUGCAGUGACGCCGCGUGGGGGAUGACGGCCUUCGGGUUGUAAACCUCUUUCGACAGGGACGAAGCUUUGGUGACGGUACCUGUAUAAGAAGCACCGGCUAACUACGUGCCAGCCGCCGCAGUAACAC
rnacentral:rRNA from 1 species